GUUUGACACGGCCCCACGGUCUCCAGUUUGGGGCCAACAUUCGGACGCGGGGCGAUGAC
rnacentral:ncRNA from 1 species